AACUUUUUCCCAUUCAAUAAAUACUCAAAUAAUUUUUUAUUAUUCUUUACUUUAUAAGAAUAUCGAAAUUUUUAUAUAAAAUGAAUAUUUUUGCUCCAACUUGAAAAAGCUUAUCGAUGACAUAACCUUCGCAACACAAAUGUCUUACGGUCAUACAUAACAUUGUGCAGUUUCCAAGCAACCUAAUUAAAAGGAUAAUAUAUGAUUUUUUAAUUGAAAAUAAUCAUUUUUAUUUACAUAUAUUAACUUACUGAUUAAUUUCAGUAUAUCAAGUAAAUUGAACAAGUUUUCAAACAUUGUAAAUUCUAAAUUCAAAGAUGAUAUCCAGACAAUUUUGUCGAUACUUUUCGAUUAGUAACCACUUUUGGCAAUCGUCUAAUAAAUCAUUAUUAGCCAAAUUGAGAAAAAAAACUGGCUACACUUUUUCUAAUUGCAAAAAAGCUUUGGAAUUACAUGAUAAUGACUUUGGAAAGGCUGAAGCAUGGCUUAAAGAACAAGCAACAGCUCUUGGUUGGUCAAAAGCUGAAAAACUUCAAGGAAGAUCAACGACCCAAGGUUUAAUAGCUGUUAUGUGCAGCAAAGAUCAUGGAGCUAUGGUUGAAUUAAAUUGUGAAACAGACUUCGUUGCUAGGAAUAAAACCUUUCAUAGUCUUGCUGAAACAAUCAUUUCGGAAGUUACCAAAUUUGCUGGAAAUUUGGUGUCAAAAGAGCCUGUUUAUAAACUACCUUUACAUACAGAUUGUUUAAAAGAUAUCAAAGCUCAUGAUGGAAAAAUCUUAGCUGAUCAUGUAGCUUUGACGAUUGGAAAUGUUGGAGAAAACAUCACUUUAAAACGAGCACUUUGUAUGAAAGUGAGUUCACCUAUCCAGUUAGUUGGAUGUACACAUCCAGCUCCAGUUAACACAAUUCCUGUUUCAUUCGGAAAAUAUGGAGCUUUGUUGGCAUUUAAAUCAGAUCCUCCCAACAGACUACUAGGCAUGCAGCUUUGCCAACAUAUCAUUGGGAUGAAUCCUUCAAAGAUCGGACAUCCAAAUGAUGAAGUCAAUGAAAACAGUGACGAUGAAUCUACUUUAAUUUUUCAAGAAUUUUUAUUAGAUCCAAGUCUUAAUGUUCAACAAGCUUUGAUGGCUGCAAAUGCAGAAGUUAUAGAUUUUUGCCGUUUUGAAACUGGUGAAAAUCUUCAACAUGAAGACUCUGAUGAGGCACCAGCAGAGAAGGAAUCUGUCAAAUCGUGUAGUUAAACUAAAAAUAUUCAAAUGUUAUCUACAAAAUGCAUUUCUACAAAUAAAUAAAUAGAAAGAUAUUUAUAAAAGCUAU